GCUGGUAAUGUUAACAAUGUCCAGGUGGGGAAAUGUCACUACUCUUUGUUGAACACCCACUAUGUGCCUACCGCUCCUCCCCUAAAGUGGCUCAGCUGUCAGGUCUGAGCUCCACAUUGCCUGGGAUUGAGGCACAGACAGAUCUGAUUCCCGCUGCUAUAUCCUUCCCCUGAGCCCAGGCUGUGGGUUCUGCUCAUAGAGAAUGCCGAGCUGUACCCUAAGAGCCAGCAAGACCAAGGGUCUUUGGCACCACAAGCAGCCAGCAGCUGGGGAUAGUAACGCAGAACACAGUGAGCAGCAAGGAUGGCAGAGAACAACGGAGAAUCGCCGGAAGCCACCAUCUGGGGGAAGGAUGAUUGAGACCAGAGACAAGAACAGAAGAAAGUCCGUGUGGCACAGCCUGGACCAGGACCCAGACUUCAGGAUCCCAUCUGUACCUCCUGCCAGCCUAUGA
rnacentral:lncRNA from 1 species